GACGAACGCUGGCGGCGUGCUUAACACAUGCAAGUCGAACGGAAAGGCCCUGCUUGCAGGGUACUCGAGUGGCGAACGGGUGAGUAACACGUGGGUGAUCUGCCCUGCACUUCGGGAUAAGCCUGGGAAACUGGGUCUAAUACCGGAUAGGAGCCAUUUUUAGUGUGAUGGUUGGAAAGUUUUUUCGGUGUAGGAUGAGCUCGCGGCCUAUCAGCUUGUUGGUGGGGUAAUGGCCUACCAAGGCGGCGACGGGUAGCCGGCCUGAGAGGGUGGACGGCCACAUUGGGACUGAGAUACGGCCCAGACGCCUACGGGAGGCAUCAGUGGGGAAUAUUGCACAAUGGGCGCAAGCCUGAUGCAGCGACGCCGCGUGGGGGAUGACGGCCUUCGGGUUGUAAACUCCUUUCGCUAGGGACGAAGCUUUUUGUGACGGUACCUAGAUAAGAAGCACCGGCUAACUACGUG
rnacentral:rRNA from 1 species